UUGUCCUACGGGACGCAGCAGUGGGGAAUAUUGCACAAUGGGGGAAACCCUGAUGCAGCGACGCCGCGUGGGUGAAGAAGUAAUUCGUUACGUAAAGCCCUAUCAGCAGGGAAGAAAAUGACGGUACCUGAGUAAGAAGCCCCGGCUAACUACGUGCCAGCAGCCGCGGUAAUACGUAGGGGGCAAGCGUUAUCCGGAUUUACUGGGUGUAAAGGGAGCGUAGACGGAGCGCCAAGUCUGGAGUGAAAUGCCGCGGCUUAACCGCGGAACUGCUUUGGAAACUGGCGCGCUUGAGUGCGGGAGGG
rnacentral:rRNA from 1 species